rnacentral:ncRNA from 21 species
GCAACUUGCAGUUGUUUUAAUAAAAUUGGUUCCUUAGGUUAUUCGCCUCUCCUCGUGGGAGGCAUUUUUUUACCCAUUUU